CAGUAGCCGCGGUAAUACGUAGGUGGCAAGCGUUGUCCGGAAUUAUUGGGCGUAAAGGGCUCGCAGGCGGUUUCUUAAGUCUGAUGUGAAAGCCCCCGGCUCAGCCGGGGAGGGUCAUUGGAAACUGGGAAACUUGAGUGCAGAAGAGGAGAGUGGAAUUCCACGUGUAGCGGUGAAAUGCGUAGAGAUGUGGAGGAACACCAGUGGCGAAGGCGACUCUCUGGUCUGUAACUGACGCUGAGGAGCGAAAGCGUGGGGAGCGAACAGGAUUAGAUACCCGUGUAGUCCCUGUCUCUUAUAU
rnacentral:rRNA from 1 species